CCCUAAUCACGCGGAGGCGUUGGCCUGGAUGCAGCUGCUGCCCCACUUCGCCCGCCCCUGCAACCUGUCUCCUGAAGAUGGUACUAAGAUGUAUAGUGUGGGUUGUGCCUAAAAUUCUAAUGAAUGCGGAGAUAUUGAUAGUUGCAUGUCUACAUCGAUCUACUUUCCUCAAUAUAUGGAGUUGGACAAAUAUUAUCCCGUCAAGUCUUCACUGUUGGCUUAAGUAUCAUGGUUGGAGUUCUCUAUUUUUCUCAACACAGGUUAUUCCAUAUUUGGAUUUAACCUCUCUACGCCCCUCAAGCUGAACUCUAAGUACGGUAUGCACGUUUUAUGGUCAAUUCAGGAAUGCUUAUGCUGAAUAGGAGUUAAUAAAUUUUCUUCUAGAAGGAAAACGAACCAUUUUGCUGGCUUUUGAUUUAGUUUCUUCACAAGGAAAGCGUUGUAUUCAUUUUGCCUCACACAAAUCAGAAUGGUUAGUUAUCUUGGUUUCACUACCAUAAUUCCAUCAGAUUGACUUUAGCUUGCAAGUACGAUUUUCUUUCUCACUCGGAUUAAUGGACACUUAGCAUUCAUCAUUUGCAUAUCUUUUUGGUUUAGUUGUCAAUAGAUUGAAUGGUUCAUAUUGUCAGUUCAGUACUUUGAUUAGUAUAUAUAAAGUAAUUUACACAUAACUUUCUUCAGCCAAGCUCAUACCAUAUAAUAUGGUAAAUAGCAUUUGGUUGUGGAAAAGCGUUGAAGCAAAUUUCUUCUGUGUUCUGUUGUGAUAUCAUAUUGCGAUGCUAACUAAUUUGGGAUCUUAGUUACGCAAUUUGUCGACAGCGUUUGUCACUAUACUGACGAAGCGGGUGGGCAUUGAUAUCUUACACUCUUUGUUCUCAUCAACGUAACUCGGUUUAUAAUUUGGGGCUUGCUUACAUUUCCUCUUCAACAUCUAGAGCAGUUUAUCACUACGUUAUUGAUAGUCUUUUCAUUUGUUUUUUUGUACGGCUCCAGCGUAGUAGACAUCACCUCUGCGUCAUUGAGCAUCGAAGGCGGAGGCUGCGGCAUAAGUGGUGGCUAACUGUCAAGAUGCAACAAUGCCACAUCGGUGCCUCAACUCGGCUUUACGUCCAGCAGCCAGGUCAUGGCCUGAUGUCCAUUAAAGAUCGAACAGUGUUGGGGAACCACUCGGAGAGAGUAGUGGGCUGCGGGAAGCAUCUCCGUGCACCAGCGAGGAGGUGGUGACGCUGCUGCGCAGUUGGAGGCGAAGAAGUCAGCAUUCUGGGAGGAGUUAUUCAAAUCAGAUGUUCAGUAAAUAAGUCCAAGUAACUUUAUUUCUACUAUUGUUCAGAAUCAUGCACUGCUGGAAUUCGAUCUCAAGCCAGAGCUAGAUGUUGCUUAUAUUCAUAUGAACUUACUUUUUUCAUUUCUGUUCAGCAGUUACUUUUGUCAAAUUUCAAUCCAAUUAAAUUUGUUGAUCUGUUACUUUUGUCGUAGCACUGUCUUACUCUUACGGCCAUGGUUUUUUAUGUUGGUACAUUUUAAUCAGACAUGUCAGUUGACGGAUUUUAAAAUACUUCAUAAAUACUAUGACAUAGCUUUGCUUUCAACUAUGCUGAUUCAACAAUUUGACAUCUGGGUCGGACGUGUUAAUAUGAGGAUAUUAUGAUCUAGAUGAACUUUCGUUAUGCUCUAACAUUUCAUAUUGAUAGAAUUUGGAGCAACGAAUUUGACGAGCUAAAAUAUUUUUAGGUGUUGAUAUAUGGAUAACAUGAUCUAGACAAACUUUAAUCAUUCUUUGUGCUUUUAAAGCCACUCAUAUUAUGAUCAUCCAACCAGCUCAUAUCAGCUGUUCAUCUUUAUUGUCCACAUGGAAUAAAGAAAGAUAAUAACAGGAGUUCUUGCCAUAUUUCAGCACAGAAACAAUGAGGUCAGGUAUCAUGUUCCUUUCAUCUUCCUAAUAUUUUUCACAAAAAAAUAUUGUAUAGCUUUUCAGGUUCAUUUGGCAUCAAAUUGAGAUCUCUGUUUAUUCCUGCAAAUCAGUCUGUACAGGUUCAGACUACCGAGACUACAGAUACAAUUUGCUUCCAACCAAUAAAACAUACCAUAGAUCAUGAUUGUAAAACAUAGCAUAUUUUAGAUCUGCUGGCAAAGAAAAGUUUAUAUUGUUGGUACCUCUGAUUUGUUAAAUGAUUCACUGUCAAAAUUGUUGUUAGAUGUUAACGACUUAAGGCAUUCUUCUUUGUGCAUAUUAACAUAACCUCUGAUUUAUAUGAUGUUUUAUUGCAUAGUAAUCGUCUUAGGCUGUUUUGACAUGGGUGAAAGGGGGAUGAUCAAAAUGAACUUUAGCUGCUAUGUUUACAUCUUGGGAGAAUCCUGUGGCCAGGAUGGUGGUAGUUUGAAAUAGUGGUUGUAGUUCUUGACAGUUGUUAGUUGGGUUUUCAUCAAAAAAUGUUAUUAGAUUGUUUAGUAGUUCAAAAAUUGCAAUGUCCGGACACUACUGCGCUAGCUUCUUCAAAUUUUUACCACUUUUUGUGAAAGAUUUUGAAAUAGAGAACCGACAAUAUAUUUGAUGUAAAAUGGCGAGGGAGCAUUUUUAUUUAAAAGAAGUUAUGGAAAUAUAUUUUGCUGAAUAUAAUGUAGUGCAGAUUGUACUGCAAAAAAAAAUCAUGUUCCAGGCAUGUUCAUUAUCCCUUUGAAUUUUGUAUUUGUUUUAGCCCUCAUGGGCUGCUAUAUUGGAUUCAAACUUACUAUGUGAUCUAUACAGGAUUGGGGUUCAUGUGUCUCUGGACUUAAUAUUCUAAUACAUGCUAAUGGUCUCAUCUCUACUCACGUUUUCAUGUCCUGAUGUGGAUUUACUUACGAUUUCAUUACGCUGUCAGAUGAGCAGUGCAGAUUUCAGAGCUAGGAGACUAGCAAGGCAAUAUACUAUAGAUUGGUCACAAGGUGAGGAUAUAGCAUGCAACCUUUUGGCCAAUAUACUACAAAAUUUAUGAUGAGUAUUGAAGUGAAGACAGCUGGUAUUAGCUUGUGGACCUUAGUCCUUACAUAUGGUGUCAAGCUAACUACAUCUUAGGCCCAUCAUUUUUCGAAGUUCUUUUGUGUUUUAGCAAAAUAGCAUAUCAUUUCUGAUCUUACAGAUGAAUUCUCACAGCGAACAUGAAUUGUUGUUGUCGGAUCAAGUUUAUUUUUCAUGCUUUGACUUCAAAGGGCAAAUAUA